ensembl:snoRNA
UGCACUGUGUUGGUAUCUGCAUCCAGCAGUAUUUUUCUGAUGGGGUGUUCAAAAAACAGUGCCACAGUAAUCCAGCAUCUGGCAUCGUUGGUUUUCAUGCUAUUAUGCUUGUUAAACCUGGUAUAUCUGUUGGAACAUGU